GCCUAAACCCGACAGCAGCGGUUCCGAUCCUUCAUCGGAAGUAGCGAAUGGCGGGACUGAGC
rnacentral:sRNA from 1 species